UACGUAGGGUGCAAGCGUUGUCCGGAAUUAUUGGGCGUAAAGAGCUCGUAGGCGGUUUGUCGCGUCUGCUGUGAAAACCCGAGGCUCAACCUCGGGCCUGCAGUGGGUACGGGCAGACUAGAGUGCGGUAGGGGAGAUUGGAAUUCCUGGUGUAGCGGUGGAAUGCGCAGAUAUCAGGAGGAACACCGACGGCGAAGGCAGCUCGCUGGGACGGUACUGACGCUGAGGCGCGAAAGCGUGGGGAGCGAACAGG
rnacentral:rRNA from 1 species